ensembl:lncRNA
CGUCCAAAUAGCUGAAAACGGAGACGCAAACUCAUACACAACAAACUAUAUUCGACCGGUUCAUUGAUACAUGAUUGAAAGUUAUUCUUAAUUUUUUCAGUAUGAAGGUCCACAAACACCCUCUGCUUUGGGUCCCCGGGUCUGAGGUCUGUCUGCGCCUGAGUUACCCUCCACUCGCUAAUUAUUGUCUCGUCUUAGCAUUUGUGUUGAUGCAGAUUUCCUUCAGUCAUGGAAAAAAGUCUUUACGUGAGCAUCCUCUAAAGCUGCAGGAAAAAUUGUGUAGCAACAUCACAACAACACUGCUGCUAUGAGAGAAUUUGCAUUAUUUUGAAUAAACCCACAGAAAGAUCUCACAUUGAGUUCAACUGCAAUGAACUUUGAAAUGCCAAAGAGUCCAAACUAAUAAUAGCUGUGGCUGUUACCGACUGAGAAGAGCAGCUGGCAGCAGUUCAGCGAGUUUAUUCAUGAACGUGGGUUUGGGCGAGCGGCGAGACCGACCCGGAGGGGAAAGGUCGGAUCACAGAGACGAGAGAAACCCGACGGAUGUCCAGCACACGAUCCGGUCGCUUCCUGUUGACCCGAGUGUCCAUCUGAGGAAGUAACAUGCUGACCUCCAACCGGCUAAUAGGCCGAGGGGACAUAUCAGAUAUCAUAGUGUCCCUGGCAAACGGGGCGGCGGGUCUAAUUGGAGCCGGGCUGAUUAUCUCGGGCUGAGUGCCGUGAGACGAGGACGGAGACGGAGGGACCGGUAGCUCAACUGACAGGUGGUAGAACAGCAAUUAUAAAACUAAACUUUGUUGCCUCUCAGAAAGCAGGUCUUAUUUGUAACGAGUGAAGUGAUAAAAGAAGAAAAUAAUUGGAUUUUUUUUUCAGCCUCCAAGCCUUAAAUGUUUUCAGCAAAGAGUCUUUGAACAAAGUGUAUUUCAUUCUAACCUUUGAUUAACGGUUCCCGCACUCGAGGCCGAGCCGCAAAAAAGCAAAUUAUUCUCAAGAUCAAGCUUUAGCCAUCUCAUUAUCUUUUUGCCAUCUCUCCUCAGUUUGUUUCCCUUCACUCGCCCCGACCGGCGAUGUUGUCCGUCCUGUGGAUGUGCUGGUGUCGCUUUAGCGUCUGUUUGUGUUUUUGCCUUUGUCGCAGCAACGAGAAAGCUGUGUUUCAUUUUCUGGGGCCAAUUAGUGACUCACCGACCCGCCUUCACUGUCCGUGUGCGUUUGUUCUGAUCCGGUCUAAAACAAAGAUCUCGCUGGUGGGCGGGACUUGAACCCAGAUGGCCACAAGCCUUAACAAAGUUUUAGCUCGGCCAAAUGAAAAGUGUUCAAUGCGACUUGUCAACUUGUGUGGAGGAGCAGAGGCCGCUUGUGAAAGACCUGGGGUGAAAGGUCAGGUCCGACUGAGUCGGGAAAUACUUUCAAGAAAAAGUAAACUGACAGACUAAGAGACCAAUUUGCUUUUCUUACCACCUUUUCUUUUCUUGAGGGAAGAAGCGAGGCGCCACAGAUUGUGAAGCUACUUUUUUCAGAUGAUAGUUUAUCAUCUUUCAUUCCCGAUGUCUCAUCGUUUUGGCAGAUGCACAUUUUUACCUUCAGUGUGAGAAGUUCACCGGAUCAAAACCAGGUUUUUCAUGACUAAACUUGCGGACUGCGGAGGAGUGGCGCAAAGACCUGUCAAUCAGCGUGUAGCCCCGGCCUCGUCUGCCAUCCGCUGCUUCCUGGUCUGUUUUACUGUCAAUGGACCAUAAUUUACUGUUGUGAUGAAGAUGAACUAGAUAGAGAUGAAACUAGAGAUUGAGACCAUGAACUCAUGUUUACAAUGUUUACUGAGGGAAUAAAUCAAGAGAGAAGUAGAGUCAUUUCCUCAUAGACGUCUAUGGGAGCAGAGGAGUCGCCCCCUGCUGAUCACUACAGAGAAGUAGAGUCAUUUCCUCAUAGACGUCUAUGGGAGCAGAGGAGUCGCCCCCUGCUGGUCACUACAGAGAAGUAGAGUCAUUUCCUCAUAGACGUCUAUGGGAGCAGAGGAGUCGCCCCCUGCUGGUCACUACACAGAAGUAGAGUCAUUUCCUCAUAGACGUCUAUGGGAGCAGAGGAGUCGCCCCCUGCUGGUCACUACACAGAAGUAGAGUCAUUUCCUCAUAGACGUCUAUGGGAGAGAAUGCAGUAUUAAGAAAGGAAGCUUUGGAUCCACACGGUAGAACCGGAGGAUGCUCACUGUUCUGUUACACAACAAUAUAAUACUGAACUAUCAUUCAGAAGUGAUGAUCUACAUUCAUCUUCAAAAAGUAAAGUCAGAUGUUUUGUAGCUAUUUUUGACAAAAAACGUGAUGCUCUGCAGCUUCCUCAGACGCUCAGACAUUCAUCCCACCUGUGGGGAAUCAAGAGGAGAUUUUCUCAUCACUCCUCUGUGAGCUUCAGCUCUGCAAACACUCGUCUCCUCCGGCGGCUUCGGUCCGCUGCCGACACAAACCCGGCGUUCAUCUCCCCGCUCUUUAAUAUUUCAUCUGCUGCGAUAUGAUGAGCGAGGACCCGGCCGACUCACCUGCAGCCGCGUGGAGAAUCUCGGGGAAAAAGACUCAAGGAGUUUUAUUAUUCUUAUUUUAGCGUUCUGACUCUGACAGUUUCAUCUCUGAAUUAUUAAAAGCGCCGCUACCUGCAGCGAGUUCUCCUACACAUUCACCUCACGGUCAGCCGCUCAUUAAUUAAUCACAACGCUCGACUUAUGGAUUUUAAUAUCCUGAAUCAUUUAUGUGGAAGCUUUAUUUUAACCGCCUACAAACAUCUAAUCAAUAUAAGGAACUAUGACUCUGUGGAUAGAGAGUCUUAACUGUGAGAAGUCAACUCAACUUUGGGAGAGUUUUUAUUUACCACACAGACUCCCCCUUUUCUCCUGUUUGCUUCCAGUGAGGAGACGUACCGACCUUCUGCCUCUGCAAACAUCAGCUUCAAGACUUUUAGCCGCGCUGAUUAUUUUCCUGUGACCUCCUCUCGCGAGCGGCCGCGGACUGGGGAGGGGGGAGGAAACGGCGUCUCUCUGGCCCGCUAAAGGUCGCCGUCUCAUCUCCUCGUUCAGCCGCCUGUCUUCGAUCCGGGUCACAUCUCAGAGGGAACUCGCACUUCACGGACUCGUGAAACAUGAAGUGUUCACCAAACAUAUCGUUUGAAGAGGAGAACACGUCUGAAUGAGGUGAGAAGAUGAAUAAACCAGUCAGCGGAAGGAUUCGCUUUAGGAGGCUUUGAAGGACGCUCCUCUUAGCGCCUCCUGGUGUCUCCGGGCUGAAGGGGGAGUCCACCAACAGCCCCUCCGGUUACACGGACGCUUUGAACUGUGGGUAAUCGCUCAGUGAGGAGCCUGAAUGUGCUGAGAGUUCUCAUCAUCCCCCCUUAGCCGACCUCUCCGCUCAACCUUUGGAAGGGAACCCGACAGACCACUUGAUGCCCCCCCGGCUGGAUUACAGCACCAGCUUCCUCUUCGUCCUCCAGACGGUUCCUCUCAAAGGGAAAACCAGCGAGAACAAAGACGCUGCAGAGCAUCAUCUUCUCUUCUCGGGUCCUGCACACUUGAACUCGACGGCCUACAGCUCCUCCGCAGACCAAACCGAGGAUCCUCCAGAAAGAGCUCAGACGUUCAGGAGGAAGAAAAACACGGAAAUAAAGGAGCCUGAAGUGAAGCGAGAGGAAAGACAACGAUGUGAUGCAACGCUGGCGAGAUCUCAGCGAACACAAACAAUAAACCUUCGGCUCUGUCAGCAGAGUUCAGCGCAACACUCCCGUCUCUGUCUGCAAUAAGUUCUGCAAAGACAGAAGUACCUCACUCCAGCUGUGUCAGCAUUAAAGGUACUUGUAGUACCAGGAGUAAAGGCAGCCCUCCAGCAGAAGAAUAUACUGUAUUUUACAACAUUGUACAUCAAUUAUGUGUUCAUGCGUUCAUCAGCUGGAUGACGUUUCAUCACUUCAUGUAGUUCCGAGUUGCUUUUAAUUACCACAUGUUUGAUCUUUUCUAUUCAUACAAUUAAAUCAAACUAUAUUUUAUCUAAGUAACACAAGUUAAAUGUAGUGGAGUAAAAAGUACAUUAGUCCCCUCUAGGUUGAAGUAGCAGUAUGAAGUACAAGUACAGCACAUGAGUAAAUGCAUCAACAUCUUGUGUAAUCCUUUUCUUUGUGUUUGACCUUCAUCUAAACAUCACAUUAUUCUACUUUUAGAGUGAGAUUUAAAGUCUGAUUGAGUUCAGCGGCGAAUCGAGAGACGUUUUCACACGUCUGUGAUAAAGAAACACUCUGAUAAUAAACGUUGUUAGAUGAUGGUUUUCAUGUUUAUUAUCAAGUCUUUUUUAAGCAGCAGAAACCAGUCGGAAGUGAAAAUGUGUGCAGUGCUUCUGCUACGUGGCCCUGGGCCUCCUUUACCCCCCCAAUUACCCCCCCCCCUCCUCGGCUGAUUAUUGAAACUGUCCUCUGGGUGAGAACGUACAGCAAUAACACGCAAAAAAAGCCAAUUGGGUUAAACAACAAGCACAUUGGCCCCCGUGCUGGAGAAAGGGCAGAAUCUAAUAGUCAGGUAGCAAUAUGUGAGUGGAAUUACAGCAUUAGUUUUCAUCAGUGUCCCCCCAGCAGCGAGGGGGGGGGGCACAAAUCUAAUUGAGAGAGAACGCAUUAUCUCCGCCAUUGUUUGCAGGCUUUUCCUCUUUUCUCCGUCGCUGGUGAAACUUUGGGCGGCGCCGUUGUGAGGAGACGAGGAGGCGUUGUGAGGAGACGAGGCGGAGUUGUGAGGAGACGAGGUGGCGUUGUGAGGAGACGAGGAGGCGUUGUGAGGAGACGAGGCGGAGUUGUGAGGAGAUGAGGUGGCGUUGUGAGGAGACGAGGCGGAGUUGUGAGGAGACGAGGUGGCGUUGUGAGGAGAUGAGGCGGAGUUGUGAGGAGACGAGGUGGCGUCAUGAGGAGACGAGGCGGAGUUGUGAGGAGACAAGGAGGCAUUGUGAGGAGACGAGGCGGCGUUGUAAGGAGACGAGGUGGCGUUGUGAGGAGACGAGGUGGCGUUGUGAGGAGACGAGGCGGAGUUGUGAGGAGACGAGGUGGCGUUGUGAGGAGACGAGGAGGCGUUGUGAGGAGACGAGGCGGAGUUGUGAGGAGACGAGGUGGAGUUGUGAGGAGACAAGGAGGCAUUGUGAGGAGACGAAGCGGCAUUGUGAGGAGACGAGGCGGCGUUGUGAGGAGACGAGGCGGAGUUGUGAGGAGACGAGGUGGCGUUGUGAGGAGAUGAGGCGGAGUUGUGAGGAGACGAGGUGGCGUUGUGAGGAGACGAGGCGGAGUUGUGAGGAGACAAGGAGGCAUUGUGAGGAGACGAGGCGGCAUUGUGAGGAGACGAGGCGGCGUUGUAAGGAGACGAGGUGGCGUUGUGAGGAGACGAGGUGGCGUUGUGAGGAGACGAGGCGGAGUUGUGAGUAGACGAGGAGGCGUUGUGAGGAGACGAGGUGGUGUUGUGAGGAGACGAGGAGGCGUUGUGAGGAGACGAGGCGGAGUUGUGAGGAGACGAGGUGGCGUUGUGAGGAGACGAAGUGGCGUUGUGAGGAGACGAGGUGGCGUUGUGAGGAGACGAGGUGGCGUUGUGAGGAGACGAGGUGGCGGGCAUGGACAAAAAAUGACGAUGUGAUUGUCCGCAUGGCCACGAGGCGCGUCGGCCCUUUGAUUCGUGUCAUUACAUCGAGGAAAUGAGGAAAGUGUUUGUCCCACUUUCCAUUCAUAUUGUGGUGACGCCGUGGUCGCGUCUUCCCGCUGGCGCUGAUUUGCUUCUGGGAAACAGAGAGAAGGACCGCCGCCGUCUCUCCCGCCCAACAUAAUUGGCCGUAAUGGCGGACUCGGCGAGCCGGUCCCAGUUGCUAGACGACCACAUUGAAAGCUUUCAAGUCGGGAGCCGCCAGCAAAAUAGGUCGUUACACGGGAUGUUUGGGGCUCACGGGGGGAGUGGAGGGAGGAGGGGUGUUGAAGGGAGCCAGUGGGACGUUUGAGACUUGACCCCAUGUACAUUACAUACAUGUCAUUACAUACAUGUCAUUACAUUACAUACAUGUAUAUUUCAUACAUGCCAUUACAUUACAUCACAUGUCAUUAAAUUGCAUUACAUCACAUACAUGUCAUUACAUUACAUUACAUACAUUCCAUUCCAUUCCAUUACAUACAUACCAUUACAUUACAUUACAUCCAUGUACAUUACAUUACAUUACAUCACAUGUCAUUACAUUCCAUUCCAU